rnacentral:rRNA from 1 species
CCUACGGGAGGCUGCAGUAGGGAAUAUUGCUCAAUGGGGGAAACCCUGAAGCAGCAACGCCGCGUGGAGGAUGAAGGUUUUCGGAUUGUAAACUCCUUUUGUUAGAGAAGAUAAUGACGGUAUCUAACGAAUAAGCACCGGCUAACUCCGUGCCAGCAGCCGCGGUAAUACGGAGGGUGCAGGCGUUACUCGGAAUCACUGGGCGUAAAGCGCGCGUAGGCGGGAUAGCAAGUCAGAUGUGAAAUCCUAUGGCUUAACCAUAGAACUGCAUUUGAAACUGUUAUUCUAGAGUAUGGGAGAGGUAGGUGGAAUGCUUGGUGUAGGGGUAAAAUCCGUAGAGAUCAAGAGGAAUACUCAUUGCGAAGGCGACCUGCUAGAACAUAACUGACGCUGAUGCGCGAAAGCGUGGGGAGCAAACAGGAUUAGAUACCCCAGUAGUC